rnacentral:rRNA from 1 species
UGAGCAAUCUGCCCUUCUCAUCGGAAUAAAGCGUUGGAAACGACGUCUAAUGCCGAAUACGACCUCCUUUCGCAUGAUCGGAGGUGGAAAGCUCCGGCGGAGAAGGAUGAGCUCGCGGCCUAUCAGCUAGUUGGUGUGGGUAAUGGCCCACCAAGGCGACGACGGGUAGCCGGCCUGAGAGGGUGACCGGCCACACGUGGGACUGAGACACGGCCCAGACCUCCGUACGGGAGCAG